rnacentral:rRNA from 1 species
AUGCCUCACCUUUUUCUUUUCUUAUUCUUUGUAUUUGUGUACUAUGUACACUGGCACACCCGCAACACUUUGUACCCCGGGUCAAGAAGACGCUUAUACGAAACCUUUAUCCUUUUGUACGAACGCGUCAUUUCCUUUUUUGUGUCAAACACGGUGGUACACAGUCUGCUCUGUCCCACUCCAGGUACGCCGCCCCGCCUCCACCACAUCCAUUCUACCUCCGGAGGGCGUCCACUGGCACCGUUGGGUGCUUGUGCCCUCGCCUGCGCCGGGCCGAUCGAGGAAGCCCGAGUCGAAGGCGCGGGCCGCACGUCGCGAGAGGCAACGCGCGAGGGAGGCUAUGGCGGCGAGCAACGCGUCGGCGAGGCGCCGGGCACUCGCGCGCGUGCCGGUUAA